GGGCCCGCACAAGCGGCGGAGCAUGUUGCUUAAUUCGAGGCAACGCGAAGAACCUUACCUGGGUUUGACAUUUAGGGAAAAGCCAUAGAGAUAUGGUGUCCUUCGGGGCCCUAAACAGGUGGUGCAUGGCUGUCGUCAGCUCGUGUCGUGAGAUGUUGGGUUAAGUCCCGCAACGAGCGCAACCCUUAUCCUAUGUUGCCAGCGGUUCGGCCGGGGACUCGUAGGAGACUGCCGGGGUCAACUCGGAGGAAGGUGGGGACGACGUCAAGUCAUCAUGCCCCUUAUGUCCAGGGCUGCAAACAUGCUACAAUGGCUGGUACAACGGGCAGCGACACCGCGAGGUGAAGCGAAUCCCUUAAAGCCAGUCUCAGUUCGGAUUGCAGGCUGCAACUCGCCUGCAUGAAGCUGGAAUCGCUAGUAA
rnacentral:rRNA from 1 species